CUGGUAUGUACCUGUACAGACACUUGGAGUCUGAGGCAGGAAGAUCCCAAGUUCAAGACCAGCCUCAGCAAUUUAGCAAGACCCUGGCUAAAAAUAAAAAAUAAGGAUUGGGGAUGUAGCUUAGUGGAAGGGCCCUGGGGUUUAAUCCGUGAUACAAAAACAAAACAAAAUAUUACUUUAUCUUUUACAUUUAGAUCUGUGGUCAAUCUGGAAUUUGUUUUUAUUUUGGUGAGAAGUAUAUAGGUCAAAAUUUCCAUGUUGAUUUCAGGAGAUUUUUACAGAAUUUGCUAAAUAGGCCAUGUCAUUUUUAUCACAAAUAUGUGUCAAAUAUGUUUAAAUCUGAUUCUGUUCUUUUGGUCUGUGUCUUCUAUGUUAAUAUCAUAUUGACUUCAUUAUCGC
rnacentral:lncRNA from 1 species